rnacentral:rRNA from 1 species
UACGUAGGGGGCAAGCGUUGUCCGGAAUUAUUGGGCGUAAAGAGCGUGUAGGCGGUCCGGUAAGUCAGCUGUGAAAGUCAAGGGCUCAACCCUUGAAAGCCGGUUGAUACUGUCGGGCUAGAGUCCGGAAGAGGCGAGUGGAAUUCCCGGUGUAGCGGUGAAAUGCGCAGAUAUCGGGAGGAACACCAGUAGCGAAGGCGGCUCGCUGGGCCACACCUGACGCUGAGACGCGAAAGCUAGGGGAGCGAACAGG